rnacentral:lncRNA from 1 species
UCCCUUCUUUGCUGUGCCUGUGGGCACGAUUGCCGGCGACGGGUGUCGUCGAAUUUUGUUGGAAAAGAGAACCUUUGUCCGACCUCUUUUCUCCGAUUUUUCGGCACCGACGGUCACCGCCGACCGCCGGUGCAGGCCCUCCGAACUCGGGGGAAGGCCGCCCUUGCCGCCGGCCACCGCCGGGCAAGGGGUAGCCGUGAACGGCUGACGUGGGGAACGGGGAACU